rnacentral:rRNA from 1 species
AGGGGGCUAUCAUGCAGUCGAGCGGACCGACGGGAGCUUGCUCCCUUAGGUCAGCGGCGGACGGGUGAGUAACACGUGGGUAACCUGCCUGUAAGACUGGGAUAACUCCGGGAAACCGGGGCUAAUACCGGAUGCUUGAUUGAACCGCAUGGUUCAAUCAUAAAAGGUGGCUUUUAGCUACCACUUGCAGAUGGACCCGCGGCGCAUUAGCUAGUUGGUGAGGUAACGGCUCACCAAGGCGACGAUGCGUAGCCGACCUGAGAGGGUGAUCGGCCACACUGGGACUGAGACACGGCCCAGACUCCUACGGGAGGCAGCAGUAGGGAAUCUUCCGCAAUGGACGAAAGUCUGACGGAGCAACGCCGCGUGAGUGAUGAAGGUUUUCGGAUCGUAAAACUCUGUUGUUAGGGAGGAACAAGGAAACCGGAAA